UCCUCUCAUGUGGACUUUCUGCGGCAAGUAAGGAGUUUAGAUCCAGCGCUGUUCUUGACUGAUGCAGGAAUAACGGACGCAGCCAGGCUUGAAUGUUAAACACAUAGUCGCCGACUUAAAGUGUUAAAGAUCGUUGCGAGUAAAUGGGAUUCAACGUCUGCCGAACAGAAUGUAAAGAAUUCCUUGAAGGAUGUGGGGAAUUAAAGGCUCAUGCUCUGCGCUGUUAUUGUUGUUUAUGGCUUAUAUCUCCGUGUCCUCGGUUAAUGCCGAUAGUUUAUCUGCUCCACUCAAUGUGACCAUCAAAGCACUGGAGGGGAACUCAGCGAUAGUGACAUGGGACAUUCUGGAGGGAGACCCAGUCAUUGGGUUUGCCAUCACCCAGCAGAAGAAGGACGUUCGCAUGUUGCGAUUCAUCCAAGAAGUGAACACCACCACUCGUUCAUGUGCAUUAUGGGAUUUGGAGGAAGACACAGAGUACAUUGUCCAUGUGCAGUCCAUUAGCAUGAGCGGCACCAGCCCUCCCAGUGAACCUGUUCUGUUCCGCACACCAAAAGAGUCUGAGAAACUGGCCUCCAAAAGCCCAGUGAGCAUGGGGAGAGCGGCAUAUAAGCGGCCACGCUACCAGCAGACAGAGAGAGAGAGAGUCUGGCACAAGAAAGCCCACGGUGCUCAAGAAGCUGUUGUGUUUAACCUGUGGUGUCUGUGAAGCUAAUGUGUUUAAGUGACUACGUGCCUGUGAAGCUGAUGUGUUGACAACUGCCGGCGGCUAACCUCCUGGCUUAUGAAGACCUGAAGAAGUCCAUCCUGCAGCGGGUUGGCUGCAGUCCAGAGCAGUACCGCCAGCUCUUCUGGUCCAUGAAGCUGGAGAAGACUGGCCGCCCGUUUGCCUUCACCUAACGACUCCGAGACGCCUGCCAGAAAUGGUUGCUGGCGGGGGAUCGCGACAUCGUGGGAGUGAUCGACCAGGUGGUGCUGGAGCAGCUAAUCCAUCGACUGCCAAAAGGAAUGGCGGAGUGGGUCCAGUGCCACCACCCAGCAUCGCUGGAGGAAGCUGUCAGACUGGCGGAGGACCAUAUGGCAGCGUACCCGAGGGCGGAAGAGCCCUCAUACUCUCCUCUCCCCCUGUGUUUCCCCUUUGUCUUCCCCCUCCCCUCUUCCCUCUAACUCUGCUCUCCCCCCAGAGCCCGUUCCUGCCCCGCGGAGGCGAGGAGUCCCGCCACCAAGGCCAGUUCCCCGUGCGCAGGGGUUGGUACACCAAACAUCUAUGGUGCCCCGCCGUUCUCCCCCUCAGGUGGAGGUGCCCGCCGAUGCAGGUGCGGGCGUAGCACCUGGGCCAGCCUGCUGGAGUUGCGGAGAUCAGGGACAUUUCCGGGAUCAGUGCCCUAUGAUGGAGCUGGGGACGGUGGUCCGGAUCCCUGACACUCCGCAGGCUGCCCCCGACCAGGCCAGAGCGUACUGGAUACCAAUGAAGUAACAAUGGAGGAGGUUGGCCAGGCUGCCCAGCUCAGGGCUGGGGAGCUCAUCAUCAUUGUCGUGGUUCUCGUUAUGUGGGCAGGUGUGAUAGCUCUCUUCUGUCGCCAGUAUGACAUCAUCAAAGACAAUGAG